UACAGAGGUGGCAAGCGUUACUCGGUUUGACUGGGUGUAAAGGGUCCGCAGGCGGCUUUACAAGUGGAAAGUGAAAUCCUUCGGCUUAACCGAAGAACUGCUUUUCAAACUGUUUAGCUUGAGGAUGGAAGAGGAGAACGGAACUGCAGGUGUAAAGGUGAAAUUUGUGGAUAUCUGCAGGAACGCCAGUGGAGAAGUCGGUUCUCUGGUCCAUUCCUGACGCUCAGGGACGAAAGCUAGGGGAG
rnacentral:rRNA from 1 species